AAACUUUCAACAACGGAUCUCUUGGUUCUGGCAUCGAUGAAGAACGCAGCAA
rnacentral:rRNA from 1 species